rnacentral:misc_RNA from 1 species
GGGCAUGAACCGUCGAGGUAGCCGACGCUCGGAUUUCAACGCUCAGGUGUCAGGUGUUGGUAACAAGUCAAGAUGUCCGGUUUAAUUAGCAAGUGAAAUGUCCGGUCUUGCCAGCACCUUCGUUUAGGACUACGCUUC